rnacentral:rRNA from 1 species
UGCGUAGGCGGUCAAAUAAGUCAGUGGUGAAAUACGGCAGCUCAACUGUCGAGGUGCCAUUGAUACUGUUUGACUUGAGUACUGAUGAGGUAGGCGGAAUGGACGGUGUAGCGGUGAAAUGCUUAGAGAUCGUCCAGAACACCGAUAGCGAAGGCAGCUUACUAAGGAGUAACUGACGCUGAGGCACGAAAGUGUGGGGAUCAAACAGGAUUAGAUACCCUGGUAGUCC